rnacentral:rRNA from 1 species
UACGUAGGGACCAAGCGUUGUUCGGAUUUACUGGGCGUAAAGGGCGCGUAGGCGGCAAUUCAAGUCAUCUGUGAAAUCUCCGGGCUUAACUCGGAAUGGUCAGGUGAUACUGCUUUGCUAGAGUGCAGAAGGGGCAAUCGGAAUUCUUGGUGUAGCGGUGAAAUGCGUAGAUAUCAAGAGGAACACCUGAGGUGAAGACGGGUUGCUGGGCUGACACUGACGCUGAGGCGCGAAAGCUAGGGGAGCAAACAGGGAUUAGAACCUACCCG